UACGUAGGGGGCUAGCGUUGUCCGGAUUUAUUGGGCGUAAAGAGCUCGUAGGCGGUUUGUCGCGUCUGCUGUGAAAUCCCGAGGCUCAACCUCGGGCCUGCAGUGGGUACGGGCAGACUGGAGUGCGGUAGGGGAGAAUGGAAUUCCUGGUGUAGCGGUGGAAUGCGCAGAUAUCAGGAGGAACACCGAUGGCGAAGGCAGUUCUCUGGGCCGUAACUGACGCUGAGGAGCGAAAGCGUGGGGAGCGAACAGG
rnacentral:rRNA from 1 species